rnacentral:rRNA from 2 species
GCUUCGGCCUGGUUAUUCAUAACCCUUUGUUGUCCGACUCUGUUGCCUCCGGGGCGACCCUGCCUUCGGGCGGGGGCUCCGGGUGGACACUUCAAACUCUUGCGUAACUUUGCAGUCUGAGUAAACUUAAUUAAUAAAUUAAAACUUUUAACAACGGAUCUCUUGGUUCUGGCAUCGAUGAAGAACGCAGCGAAAUGCGAUAAGUAAUGUGAAUUGCAGAAUUCAGUGAAUCAUCGAAUCUUUGAACGCACAUUGCGCCCCCUGGUAUUCCGGGGGGCAUGCCUGUUCGAGCGUCAUUUCACCACUCAAGCCUCGCUUGGUAUUGGGCAACGCGGUCCGCCGCGUGCCUCAAAUCGUCCGGCUGGGUCUUCUGUCCCCUAAGCGUUGUGGAAACUAUUCGCUAAAGGGUGUUCGGGAGGCUACGCCGUAAAACAACCCCAUUUCUAAGGUUGACCUCGGAUCAGGUAGGGAUACCCGCUGAACUUAAGCAUAUC